UUAAUAUUUCUGCUUUUCUACAUUUGGUUGUGACAGUUUUAUGCCUUAAUACUGCAGAGAAGGAAAUUACAGGUUGCAAUAGUUUAAUUGGCAGGUUGUGAAACACAGAAUCUUCCCAGAGCUGGCAGGGGAAGGUUCCAAACAGUUUACCCCAACUGUAAGUCUGGAGCUGACAGAAAAACCUGAAGGUUGCAGAUCUGAGCUCUCGUGGACUCUAUUGGACAAGUUAGAAGCAGCCUAUCUGAAGUAAGCAUGGACAGGAGUUUCCCCAUACCCUUUGGUGGACAAAGGGAUAUUUGGAAGACUUCAACAAUUCUCGGGACAUCUUAGGACUUUCCAUCUGGUAACCUUCAUCUACCUGUCAGAGACUUUAUAUGUACUUUUAACAAUUCAUGAGAGAACCCAGGAGGCAGAGUCAAGAUGGCAGCUUAGAAGCAGCAAAAGUUCAGACCUCUGAAAACCCUUCCUUACCGAUCACAAACUGAAGGCUCCUAGGGGAUCAAAAUUCAAACUUAACAACAGGACAGAGGCGGGGAAUCCUCCUUCUGGACUCAAAUCAAAAGGGGUACAUCCAGACAAACCCAGUUGAACAUAAUCCCAUCAGGACUCCUCAGAACCCAAGGAGGCCAGGACCCUUCCCUCUCCUAGAGUGUAGGACCUCCCAAAAGGACAGGAACCUCAGGGGCGGGAAAAGGCCCUGGGGUACCUUGCAGACAGUGCUGUCCCAGGCUCAGAGCAUGGAAGUAAGGCAGCGGAGAACCAGCUGGAGAGAACUGAGAGAAGUAACACCUGAAACAUCAGCAGGCAGGGGAGUGAAGACCCUGGCCUUCCCCAGGAAGACAGAGCAGCUGCAGAGAACGGACAAUUUGCCUGCGGCUAAAGCCUCAAUUAAUCAUAAGACCCAUACACUGAGAGACAACCCUCCUCACUCAGAUUUCUGACUAGAAAGGGGAGGAAAAACCAUAGAUAUGGCAAACAGUACUGAGGGUCAGCCUCCCAACACCAAGAAAAGCAAGAAGAAGGGGGUGACUUUGGACACAUUUUAUGGAUCAUAUUUAGAUGAUAUUUAGAAAAGCAAGAGAGCUGGGUCUUCAACCAAGAAUCAGCUAUCCAUCAAAACUGACUAUAUACUUCCAGGGGAAAGUAUGGGCAUUCAACAAAAUACAAGAUUUCCAAGUAUAUGUAAAGAAAAGACCAGAGCUCUGUGGAAAGUUUGACAUCCAAACACAAAGAGCAAGAAAAACUUGAAAAGGUAAAUAUGAAGGAAAAGGAAAAGGAGAAAAAUGUUAUCUUUUUCUUUUAUUCAAACUCUCUUCUAUAAGGACUACAUUUACAUCAAAUUAUGUAUAUUUAUAUACAUAAACAUAUACACAUAUGUAUGUAAUAUGCAAUGUAAUAUGUAACUCUCAAAAAUUCUUUGCAUCAUUAGAGUAGAAAGAAGAAUCCCACAUAGGGAAAGUUUGGGGCAUCAAGACGAUAUAGAGAAAUAGAGGGAAGAAAGAAAAAGGGAGGGGGGGAAUUGCUGAUGGUACUAAGAUAUACUCCAAGAAAUAGAAAAACAACUAAAUAAAAUAAUCUUUCUCACAAAAAAAUGAUACA
rnacentral:lncRNA from 1 species